rnacentral:rRNA from 2 species
UACGUAGGGAGCAAGCGUUGUUCGGAUUUACUGGGCGUAAAGGGCGCGUAGGCGGCAAAUUAAGUCAGCUGUGAAAUCUCCGAGCUUAACUCGGAACUGUCAGCUGAUACUGAUCUGCUAGAGUGCGGAAGGGGCAAUCGGAAUUCUUGGUGUAGCGGUGAAAUGCGUAGAUAUCAAGAGGAACACCUGAGGUGAAGACGGGUUGCUGGGCCGACACUGACGCUGAGUGCGCGAAAGCCAGGGGAGCAAACGGG